ACAAAAUGCAGUUUUAUACUGUUUAUAUUCAACGUUUGACCGUUCGUCUUAUUUGAAAUUUUUUCUACGGUUAGUAUUUUUAUUAUUGUUAGAUGAUAAAGCAUGAAUAAUAUUAUAUGCGUGACUAUUUUUUCUAUUUUUAAUAAAUUUUUAAAUAAGACAUACGGUUAAAUGUUGAACACGGAUAUGUCUUGUUUAAA
rfam:Oryza nivara chromosome 1, whole genome shotgun sequence.